rnacentral:rRNA from 2 species
UCAUGAUUUACAUUUGAGUGAGUGGCGAACUGGUGAGUAACACGUGGGAAACCUGCCCAGAAGCGGGGGAUAACACCUGGAAACAGAUGCUAAUACCGCAUAACAACUUGGACCGCAUGGUCCGAGUUUGAAAGAUGGCUUCGGCUAUCACUUUUGGAUGGUCCCGCGGCGUAUUAGCUAGAUGGUGAGGUAACGGCUCACCAUGGCAAUGAUACGUAGCCGACCUGAGAGGGUAAUCGGCCACAUUGGGACUGAGACACGGCCCAAACUCCUACGGGAGGCAGCAGUAGGGAAUCUUCCACAAUGGACGAAAGUCUGAUGGAGCAACGCCGCGUGAGUGAAGAAGGGUUUCGGCUCGUAAAACUCUGUUGUUAAAGAAGAACAUAUCUGAGAGUAACUGUUCAGGUAUUGACGGUAUUUAACCAGAAAGCCACGGCUAACUACGUGCCAGCAGCCGCGGUAAUACGUAGGUGGCAAGCGUUGUCCGGAUUUAUUGGGCGUAAAGCGAGCGCAGGCGGUUUUUUAAGUCUGAUGUGAAAGCCUUCGGCUCAACCGAAGAAGUGCAUCGGAAACUGGGAAACUUGAGUGCAGAAGAGGACAGUGGAACUCCAUGUGUAGCGGUGAAAUGCGUAGAUAUAUGGAAGAACACCAGUGGCGAAGGCGGCUGUCUGGUCUGUAACUGACGCUGAGGCUCGAAAGUAUGGGUAGCAAACAGGAUUAGAUACCCUGGUAGUCCAUACCGUAAACGAUGAAUGCUAAGUGUUGGAGGGUUUCCGCCCUUCAGUGCUGCAGCUAACGCAUUAAGCAUUCCGCCUGGGGAGUACGGCCGCAAGGCUGAAACUCAAAGGAAUUGACGGGGGCCCGCACAAGCGGUGGAGCAUGUGGUUUAAUUCGAAGCUACGCGAAGAACCUUACCAGGUCUUGACAUACUAUGCAAAUCUAAGAGAUUAGACGUUCCCUUCGGGGACAUGGAUACAGGUGGUGCAUGGUUGUCGUCAGCUCGUGUCGUGAGAUGUUGGGUUAAGUCCCGCAACGAGCGCAACCCUUAUUAUCAGUUGCCAGCAUUAAGUUGGGCACUCUGGUGAGACUGCCGGUGACAAACCGGAGGAAGGUGGGGAUGACGUCAAAUCAUCAUGCCCCUUAUGACCUGGGCUACACACGUGCUACAAUGGAUGGUACAACGAGUUGCGAACUCGCGAGAGUAAGCUAAUCUCUUAAAGCCAUUCUCAGUUCGGAUUGUAGGCUGCAACUCGCCUACAUGAAGUCGGAAUCGCUAGUAAUCGCGGAUCAGCAUGCCGCGGUGAAUACGUUCCCGGGCCUUGUACACACCGCCCGUCACACCAUGAGAGUUUGUAAC